UUAAAAAAAGAAAAGCAGAUAAAUAGCAGAGCAAGAGGCAGGAUGCAUCAUGCCUCGGUCACUACAUGUUUGCAGGCUUUUGUUAAAGACAAUGGUCUGACGUUGAAACUUGGAUUGCCUUGAGUACACCCUCACAGCCCUGCUCAUGGGGCAAGCAUGCCUGGGAGAUGACCUGGGGCACCACGCCCUGCCUGUCUCAGACAAGGAACUCCAGGCAGCAGUGGCGAAGCUGAGCAGCCCCAUCCUUAAGGGGCGGAGGCCGGCUCAUAUUUGCCUAUUAGGGCCGUGGGACGCCGAGGUUCUGCUGGGUCCCUCCUGGAAAUAGAUCCUUCCCAGCCAGCACCCGAAGUCAGCAGCAGAGGGCAAAGCACCUGGGCUUUAGCUCCAAGCUCCACGAUCCUCCUGAACCACACAAAUGUGUUAGAUGGUGACCCUGAGGAACGCCAUUGAAGGAGAGUACUGAGAUAUCUUUGUCAUUUACCUGGGAUUUACAGGGACCAAAAAGCUGGACAUCAUUCACCACCGGGAACAGACCGUGCAGUCCCUGUUUGAGGACAGUGGGACCCAGGAGUGGCUCCUCUCACCUGGAGUGCUGCUGAGGAAGGAUGAUGACAUCGCUGACGCCGUUUUUUCCUUUUUCAGAUAUUGUUCCUGGAAGAGGCAAAAGCCUAGGGCUUCAAGAUGCCGGGGCUUCAAGAAACCAAGGCAUGACCUCAAGAGAUUUGCCGGAGGUGGCCUCGGUGGCAGCAGUCAUUGAAGAAAGGAAGACAGCUGCCCAGCCAGUCUGACAGACCAUACACAGACAGCCCUGUUCACAGGGAGACAAGUGUCUCUGCACAACCCGCGGCCACCACGGCGGCUUCAGGAAAGGCUCCCACAUUCCCAGAGCCUCUGCUGCGGCUCACUGACAAAUCAGCCCCUCAAUAAUCUUAUUGUAUGUUUUCAAAAUAAUUCUCAGUAAUGCCCCAAGAAUGUCUGAACUUCUGUGUGAACUCUCUAGUUUGCAUAUUUUUCAGCUUAUUAGCGGGAACUCUGAUAGACAAAGCCCAUGACCUUGCUUUUCCACGGACCUCUUGGCUGGGGUGCAAGGGCAGCCUCUCCUGCUGGUGAACUUGCAGUGCCCUCCUGUCUUGUUCUGAUUCUCUCUUACACUGAUUCCAGACUCUUUCUUCCCUUGCCCUCUUCAUAGCCAACAGUAAGAAAUAAAUCUCUUGGCUUUGAUGAUGGUUUACUCAUUAGAGAAGGCCACAAGAUUCAGGUUCUGAAUUUUCAUGAAGCAAGAUUCUGGAAAAAGAAAGAGAGAGCAGAGAUAGUGUUGCCUUUGAUUACCUGUUUACCCCAAACCCAGCGCCUCUGGGAAGGGAGCACUCGGCUUCUGAUUUCAGGAUGACUGCAUGCGACCACAGUUCUAAUACAGCUUGUCAUUCAUAAAUCCCUGAGACAUCACAAGCCCAGCCAGAUGUGAUGUGGCCUGGCCUAAUCCUUCAAUGCAAUGCAAGGGAGGGUGGAAGUUAAACCUUAAUUAAAAACAAGAUCUGAUACUGCAAAAUUACCGUUUUAAAAAUGCUUUGAAUGGGCUUAAUUGGGAGUGUAUUCAAGUGUAUGGAUACGCAGACUCAGGAGACACUGUUUUCUUGUUUCCUUAAAUGCAGCUAAUUAUAUAGAAUCAUAAAGAAGAUAAAUAUCAGACUUCAUAGCUAUAGGAUAAGCUUCUCUCCAACACGUCUACCCAGGUUUUAGCUAUAUAUAGCUUGAUAUAUUUUGAUUGCAUUUGCCAAUUCUUCUCUGUGGAUUUCCAGUUACAUGUAAAAUAACCUCAGAGUUAGGGUCCUGCAACAAAGACAAAGGGCCAAUUUUUUGCUUAAGUCAUCCAGUUCCCAAUUUUUGCUUAAGUCAUCCAGUCACUUCUAUAUUUACUCUUUUUUUUCC
rnacentral:lncRNA from 1 species